rnacentral:rRNA from 1 species
CCUACGGGUGGCAGCAGUGAGGAAUAUUGGUCAAUGGACGAGAGUCUGAACCAGCGAAGUAGCGUGAAGGAUGACUGCCCUAUGGGUUGUAAACUUCUUUUAUAUGGGAAUAAAAUGUUCCACGUGUGUAAGUUUGUAUGUACCAUAUGAAUACGGAUCGGCUAACUCCGUGCCAGCAGCCGCGGUAAUACGGAGGAUCCGAGCGUUAUCCGGAUUUAUUGGGUUUAAAGGGAGCGUAGGUGGAUUGUUAAGUCAGUUGUGAAAGUUUGCGGCUCAACCGUAAAAUUGCAGUUGAAACUGGAAGUCUUGAGUACAGGAGAGGUGAGCGGAAUUCGUGGUGUAGCGGUGAAAUGCUUAGAUAUCACGAAGAACUCCAAUUGCGAAGGCAGCUCACUGGACUGCAACUGACACUGAGGCUCGAAAGUGUGGGUAUCAAACAGGAUUAGAUACCCGAGUAGUC